CCUACGGGAGGCAGCAGUGGGGAAUUUUGCGCAAUGCUCGUAAGAGUGACGCAGCGACGCCGCGUGAAUGACGAAGGCCUUCGGGUCGUAAAGUUCUUUCGACAGGGAAGAAAAUGCCUAUAAGUAACUGUGUAUGUAUUGACGGUACCUGUUUAAGCAGCCACGGCUAACUACGUGCCAGCAGCCGCGGUAAUACGGAGGGGGCGAGCGUUGUUCGGAGUGACUGGGCGUAAAGAGCACGUAGGCGGUGUUGUAAGUCAUUAGUCAAAGGCUAGGGCUCAACUGUGGUAAGGCUGGGGAGACUGGAAUACUAGAGUAUCAGAGAGGAUUGUAGAAUUCCAUGUGUAGCGGUGAAAUGCGUAGAGAUAAGGAGGAAUACCAUUAGCGAAGGCGACAAUCUGGCUGGAAACUGACGCUGAGGUGCGAAAGCGUGGGUAGCAAACAGGAUUAGAUACCCGAGUAGUC
rnacentral:rRNA from 1 species